UACGUAGGUGGCAAGCGUUGUCCGGAAUUAUUGGGCGUAAAGCGCGCGCAGGCGGUCCUUUAAGUCUGAUGUGAAAGCCCACGGCUCAACCGUGGAGGGUCAUUGGAAACUGGGGGACUUGAGUGCAGGAGAGAAGAGUGGAAUUCCACGUGUAGCGGUGAAAUGCGUAGAGAUGUGGAGGAACACCGGUGGCGAAGGCGGCAUUCUGGACCAAUACUGACGCUGAGGAGCGAAAGCCAGGGGAGCAAACGGG
rnacentral:rRNA from 1 species